rnacentral:rRNA from 1 species
AUUGAACGCUGGCGGCAGGCCUAACACAUGCAAGUCGAACGGUAACAGGAAGAAGCUUGCUUCUUUGCUGACGAGUGGCGGACGGGUGAGUAAUGUCUGGGAAACUGCCUGAUGGAGGGGGAUAACUACUGGAAACGGUAGCUAAUACCGCAUAACGUCGCAAGACCAAAGAGGGGGACCUUCGGGCCUCUUGCCAUCGGAUGUGCCCAGAUGGGAUUAGCUAGUAGGUGGGGUAACGGCUCACCUAGGCGACGAUCCCUAGCUGGUCUGAGAGGAUGACCAGCCACACUGGAACUGAGACACGGUCCAGACUCCUACGGGAGGCAGCAGUGGGGAAUAUUGCACAAUGGGCGCAAGCCUGAUGCAGCCAUGCCGCGUGUAUGAAUAAGGCCUUCGGGUUGUAAAGUACUUUCAGCGGGGAGGAAGGGAGUAAAGUUAAUACCUUUGCUCAUUGACGUUACCCGCAGAAGAAGCACCGGCUAACUCCGUG